UUUCAUAAGACCAGAAAUUGAUAGUUUAAAUUGUAAAUUGUGCAACUAGUAAGUCGUUUGGUCAAACUAAACCGAAAAAAUGUUUUUUUGAAGCUCACAUGAAUAAUUCUACCAACAAACGCAAUAAUAUUAGGACAGCUAAACGAAAAAAGUUAAACGAUAGGGCCCCUGAACGUCUUAAACAAAGGAUUCGUUGAAAUAUUGGGCACGUUCAAACACCUAUCGGAUAGGCUAUCUGGGAUACCCGUAUCUGGAAUAUCUCUUUGAACGAAAAGCUAUCCAGGUAGCUUGCCAAAGCAGCAACGAAAAAAAUAUCUGAAUAGUCGCGCAAAUAGAAAUCAAAAUAAAAAAUAGCCAAAUAUUUAUCAGCUGAUCACUCGAAUACCUCAGGUAUACCAAAAAUUCUCGGAUACCUUCAGAUUAUUUUUUGACAGAAAAUGGUUCGUUUUUUUACUAAUUUUUAACAUUGUUUACAACAACAAAAAACUAUCCGAUAGCUUUAUGUUAGCUCUUUGAACGUGCCCAUUGAAUCAAUAGGCAGUUUUCCAUGUUCAAAUCGCGUAUAUAGUAUUGAUCAAUAUAUCAACUAUCUGCUAUCACUUGAAUCCAUACAUACGGUCAAAUCGGAUAGCAAAAUAGGGAGAUUUGUUUUGGAGAAAUCAAGAUUUUAUUUCGAAACAAAGAUUUCCGGGUACUAAAAUAAAAGACAAUCAAUUUUCUAAUUUUUAAUUUAUAUUUGUA